CCUACGGGUGGCAGCAGUAGGGAAUAUUGCUCAAUGGGGGAAACCCUGAAGCAGCAACGCCGCGUGGAGGAUGAAGGUUUUAGGAUUGUAAACUCCUUUUGUGAGAGAGGAUAAUGACGGUAUCUCACGCCUCAUCACCGGCUAACUCCGUGCCAGCCGCCGCGGUCAUACGGAGGGUACAAGCGUUACUCGGAAUCACUGGGCGUAAAGAGUGCGCAGGCGGGCUUGUAAGUCAGAUGUGAAAUCCUGUAGCUUAACUAAAGAACUGCAUUUGAAACUAUGAGGCUAGAGUGUGGGAGAGGUAGGUAGAAUUCCUGGUGUAGGGGUAAAAUCCGUAGAUAUCAAGAGGAAUACUCAGGGCGAAGGCGACCCACUGGAAAAUGACUGACGCUCAUGUACGAAAGCGUGGGGAGCAAACAGGAUUAGAUACCCGGGUAGUC
rnacentral:rRNA from 1 species